rnacentral:rRNA from 1 species
GAUGAACGCUGGCGGCGUGCCUAAUACAUGCAAGUCGGGCGAACGGACGAGAAGCUUGCUUCUCUGAUGUUAGCGGCGGACGGGUGAGUAACACGUGGAUAACCUACCUAUAAGACUGGGAUAACUUCGGGAAACCGGAGCUAAUACCGGAUAAUAUUUUGAACCGCAUGGUUCAAAAGUGAAAGACGGUCUUGCUGUCACUUAUAGAUGGAUCCGCGCUGCAUUAGCUAGUUGGUAAGGUAACGGCUUACCAAGGCAACGAUGCAUAGCCGACCUGAGAGGGUGAUCGGCCACACUGGAACUGAGACACGGUCCAGACUCCUACGGGAGGCAGCAGUAGGGAAUCUUCCGCAAUGGGCGAAAGCCUGACGGAGCAACGCCGCGUGAGUGAUGAAGGUCUUCGGAUCGUAAAACUCUGUUAUUAGGGAAGAACAUAUGUGUAAGUAACUGUGCACAUCUUGACGGUACCUAAUCAGAAAGCCACGGCUAACUACGUGCCAGCAGCCGCGGUAAUACGUAGGUGGCAAGCGUUAUCCGGAAUUAUUGGGCGUAAAGCGCGCGUAGGCGGUUUUUUAAGUCUGAUGUGAAAGCCCACGGCUCAACCGUGGAGGGUCAUUGGAAACUGGAAAACUUGAGUGCAGAAGAGGAAAGUGGAAUUCCAUGUGUAGCGGUGAAAUGCGCAGAGAUAUGGAGGAACACCAGUGGCGAAGGCGACUUUCUGGUCUGUAACUGACGCUGAUGUGCGAAAGCGUGGGGAUCAAACAGG